rnacentral:rRNA from 1 species
CACGUAGGCACCAAGCGUUGUCCAGAUUUAUUGGGCGUAAAGAGCUCGUAGGCGGUUCAGUAAGUCAGGUGUGAAAACUUUGGGCUUAACCCAAAGCGUGCAUUUGAUACUGCUGUGACUUGAGUUCGGUAGGGGAGUGGGGAAUUCCUAGUGUAGCGGUGAAAUGCGCAGAUAUUAGGAGGAACACCGGUGGCGAAGGCGCCACUCUGGGCCGAAACUGACGCUGAGGAGCGAAAGCGUGGGUAGCAAACAGG